ensembl:lncRNA
AUGUCCAAACUGAAAAGAAAGAGAGUGAGUGUAGCGGAGGAGAGCAAACCUGAGGGAAAGCCAGAGAUACGAAAUAUUUUUCAGUCUCUGCGCAAUCCUGGCGGCACGUCCUCCAGCAAGAGCUGCUCCAGUGCUGGACAUAGAGGUGAUGGAGGUGAGCCAUGGUGGGCUGCAACUGAACUAACAGCAGAGGAGAAGAUCUGGAUGACCCUGCAGGGCUUCUGUCCUGAAGCGUUCAGCUCUCCUGCAUCAGUGUAUUGUGUUCCAGAGCUGCCGCAGUUGCCUGAGAAAGCAGAGGAAGAGAAGCAGAGCGAGUGGCGCUGGUGUCGUCUGGAUGAAGAGGUCCCUGAACUUCCAGUUCUAAAAGACCUGCAAAGCUGCGCCCCAAACCACUGCACAAAGCCCUGCGUUCCUAAUAGCGGGAGCCUUCAGACUCCAUCUUCUCCAGUCAAGCAGCUCAGCCAAACAAGGCAUGAACCAAUAGCAACCACUUCUCAGCGCCCCCUGGAGGACAAUCCAAAGAGCAGUGAAACAAGAGAGGGUUAUCAGGCAACCAGUUCUCAGCACCCCCUAAAGGACGAUUCGAAAGGCAGCAGAACAAGACACGAUGAGGAAGUGUCCAUUUCUCAGCACCCUGUUAAGGACAAUUCAAAAGGCAGUGAAACAAGACACGAUCAGGAAGUGUCCAUUUCUCAGCGCCCUCUAAAGAACAAUUCAAAAGGCAGCGAAACAAGACACAAACAGCAAAUCUCCAGUUCACAGCACCCCCUGAAAGACAACUUAAAAAGCAAAGACACAAGAUGUGUAAAGCAAGCCUCCAAUUCCCUAAGCCCAGCAGAGGACCAUCAAAAGAGCUGUCCAACUCCAAAGAAAUUCAGCGAGAAGCCCGACCCGUUUAGAGAAGGUGAGAGUCAGCAACAUGGAAGCAUGUUGAUAAAGAAAUCUCAGAAAUCUGAAGGUGGGAAGUCAAAAAGCAAGGUCAAACUUACUCAAGGUGAUACCAAGAUACAGACAACUGAUCACCACACCAGCAAAGCAGAUAUUAGAAAGGUGACGCACCUGCAAGCGGAGAAAAUGCUGGGAAAAGAAUUUGAGGGAAAAUCUGGAACCGGACUCCAGUGUGAAAGUAAAUCCAGAUCAUUAGUGUCUAAAUUGGGUUCUGCAAGUGGAGCUGGAUCAGGAUCAGGAUCUGGAUCCAGAGAUUCUAGUCUGGAGAUAAAUGCUGACGGUAGGCCCGGAACAUCCAGUGGAGGAUGCGUUGCAGGACCAGCAGAACCUAAACUGGAGUGUUGUCCGAUGUGCCUCAUGCCGUUUCCUGCAGGGACUGUUUGUGUGUUUAUGAGGAAAGAAAAGCAGCGUGAAGAAGGACGGUUAUUCAUGGAUUGGGUCAGAAAGUCACGCUACUCUGCUCUGGCUGCAGCGAGCAGCGCCGAGGCUCUCAGAACAAGACUGGACUUUGUUUCUGGUGGACGGCUGACCGGGUUCUGGCCGCUGUGUGUAUUCUGGACCGAACGCUGA